GACGAACGCUGGCGGCGCGCUUAACACAUGCAAGUCGAACGGAAAGGCCUGCUUUCCCUUGUGGAUUGCGGGUACUCGAGUGGCGAACGGGUGAGUAACACGUGAGUGAUCUGCCCCCAACUUGGGUAUAAGCCUGGGAAACUGGGUCUAAUUCCCGAUAGGACUGCAGGGUGGUGCCUGUGGUGGAAAACGAUUUUCUAGUGGUUGGGGAUGAGCUCGCGGCCUAUCAGCUUGUUGGUGGGGUAAUGGCCUACCAAGGCGGCGACGGGUAGCCGGCCUGAGAGGGUGGACGGCCACAUUGGGACUGAGAUACGGCCCAGACUCCUACGGGAGGCAGCAGUGGGGAAGAUUGCACAAUGGGCGGAAGCCUGAUGCAGCGACGCCGCGUGGGGGAUGACGGCCUUCGGGUGGUAAACUCCUUUCGACCGCGAGGAAGCCACCUGGUUGGAAGGGUGGUGACGGUAGUGGUAGAAGAAGCACCGGCUAACUACGUG
rnacentral:rRNA from 1 species